rnacentral:rRNA from 1 species
AGUGAACGCUGGCGGUAGGCCUAACACAUGCAAGUCGAACGGCAGCACAGGAGAGCUUGCUCUCUGGGUGGCGAGUGGCGGACGGGUGAGGAAUACAUCGGAAUCUACUUUUUCGUGGGGGAUAACGUAGGGAAACUUACGCUAAUACCGCAUACGACCUACGGGUGAAAGCAGGGGACCUUCGGGCCUUGCGCGAUUGAAUGAGCCGAUGUCGGAUUAGCUAGUUGGCGGGGUAAAGGCCCACCAAGGCGGCGAUCCGUAGCUGGUCUGAGAGGAUGAUCAGCCACACUGGAAAGGAGACACGGUCCAGACUCCUACGGGAGGCAGCAGUGGGGAAUAUUGGACAAUGGGCGCAAGCCUGAUCCAGCCAUACCGCGUGGGUGAAGAAGGCCUUCGGGUUGUAAAGCCCUUUUGUUGGGAAAGAAAUCCAGCAGGCUAAUACCCGGUUGGGAUGACGGUACCCAAAGAAUAAGCACCGGCUAACUUCGUGCCAGCCGCCGCCGUAA